rnacentral:rRNA from 1 species
GAUGAACGCUAGCUACAGGCUUAACACAUGCAAGUCGAGGGGAAACGCCAUCGAAAGCUUGCUUUUGAUGGGCGUCGACCGGCGCACGGGUGAGUAAUGCGUAUCCAACCUGCUCAUCACUUGUUGAUAACCCUGCGAAUGUAAGACUAAUACCCAAUGAUAUCCCUAGAAGACAUCUGAAAGAGACUAAAGAUUUAUCGGUGAUGGCUGGGGAUGCGUCUGAUUAGCUUGUUGGCGGGGUAACGGCCGACCAAGGCAACGAUCAGUAGGGGUUCUGAGGGGAGGGGCCCCGACAUUGGAACUGGGACACGGUCCAAACUCCUACGGGAGGCAGCAGUGAGGAAGAUAGGUGAAUGGACGAGAGCCUGAACCAGCCAAGUAGCGUGCAGGAAGACGGCCCUAUGGGUGGUAGACUGCUUUUAUAAGGGAGUAAAGGGAGGGUCGUGACUCUUUUUGUAUGUAACGUAUGAAUAAGGACCGGCUAAUUCCGUG